GGGGGGGGGGGGGGGGGGGGGGGGGGGGGGGGGGGGGGGGGGGGGGGGGGGGGGGGGGGGGGGGGGGGGGGCGCUGCCCUCAGCCCCUCGCUGCCCUCAGCCCCGCGGCCGCCUCGCCACCUCCUUCCCUGCACACUCCGCUGUUGGCGCUUCCCCAUCCUUUAGGCUCCAGCGCUGGGAAUCCUGUCGUUUCCUCUUGUGGCCGGGUUUGGGGGGCGUGUGGCACAUUCCUGGUGUUGGGGGCUGCAGGAACUCGGCUCUCCCGGGCCCGGGAGACAGGUGAAGCCCUCAGUUUGUUGGGUAGCGAAGGCAGGUAGCUCAGGAAGGAGAGUUCACGCUUGUCUCAAGCAGCCACCUGCCGCCCUGGGGACCUGGAGCAGUGGCCCAGGAGGUUGUGACCCGUGUGUCUGGACAUGUGAUGAAACUUCUCUGACUUCAUCCACCGAGGAAACUUAUGCAGCAAAGUGGAGGUGCUGGUGUCCUGGAGCCGCAUGUGACCAUGGCCAGGGAAGCUAAGCUUUAAUUGAUACGAAGCCCUUGCUCCUAUCAAUACCCCAAAUGGAGUAUUUCAAAAUAGUUGCAUCGACACAAGAAACACAUGGAGAAUCAUAUUCUUGCAACCACAGAUCAAUUCAGCUCAAGUGACAUUGAGGAGAAACCGUGCAAUUUUCUAGCUGUACUGACACCAUUAGGGAGCUUGUUCUGGAUCACAGAGCCUUGCUUGGUGGAGCUCUUGGAGAUAACAAUAACACCUUCUCAUGCUAAUUGGAGCCUGUAUGAUGGCUGAGUGGUGGCUUCACUGUUCUUUUUGAGUCUUUGACACUUACCCUGUUGUCAUCAGAUGCUAAAGGUAAGAUGGAAGAACAA
rnacentral:lncRNA from 12 species